GACGAACGCUGGUGGCGUGCUUAACACAUGCAAGUCGAACGGGAUUUCGUAAACAGAAGCCUCGGUGGAAGAUUACUAAUGAGAGUGGCGAACGGGUGAGUAACGCGUGAGCAACCUGCCUAUGACAGUGGGAUAGCCUCGGGAAACCGGGAUUAAUACCGCAUAAAAUCGUAGAAACACAUGUUUUAACGGUCAAAGAUUUAUCGGUCAUAGAUGGGCUCGCGUCUGAUUAGCUAGUUGGUGAGAUAACAGCCCACCAAGGCGACGAUCAGUAGCCGGUCUGAGAGGAUGAACGGCCACAUUGGAACUGAGGCACGGUCCAAACUCCUACGGGAGGCAGCAGUGGGGAAUAUUGCACAAUGGGGGAAACCCUGAUGCAGCGACGCCGCGUGAACGAAGAAGGUAUUCGUAUCGUAAAGUUCUGUCCUAUGGGAAGAUAAUGACAGUACCAUAGAAGAAAGCUCCGGCUAAAUACGUG
rnacentral:rRNA from 1 species